UACGUAGGGCGCAAGCGUUGUCCGGAAUUAUUGGGCGUAAAGAGCUCGUAGGCGGCUUGUCACGUCGGAUGUGAAAGCCCGGGGCUUAACUCCGGGUCUGCAUUCGAUACGGGCUGGCUAGAGUGUGGUAGGGGAGAUCGGAAUUCCUGGUGUAGCGGUGAAAUGCGCAGAUAUCAGGAGGAACACCGGUGGCGAAGGCGGAUCUCUGGGCCGAUACUGACGCUGAGGCACGAGAGCGUGGGGAGCGAACCGG
rnacentral:rRNA from 1 species